GAUGAACGCUGGCGGCGUGCCUAAUACAUGCAAGUCGAGCGAACGGACGAGAAGCUUGCUUCUCUGAUGUUAGCGGCGGACGGGUGAGUAACACGUGGAUAACCUACCUAUAAGACUGGGAUAACUUCGGGAAACCGUAGCUAAUACCGGAUAAUAUUUUGAACCGCAUGGUUCAAAAGUGAAAGACGGUCUUGCUGUCACUUAUAGAUGGAUCCGCGCUGCAUUAGCUAGUUGGUAAGGUAACGGCUUACCAAGGCAACGAUGCAUAGCCGACCUGAGAGGGUGAUCGGCCCCACCGGAACUGAGACACGGUCCAGACUCCUACGGGAGGCAGGAGUAGGGAAUCUUCCGCAAUUGGCGAAAGCCUGACGGAGGAACGGCGCGUGAGUUAUGAAGGUCCUCGGAUCGUAAAACUCUGUUAUUAGGGAAGAACAUAUGUGUAAGUAACUGUGCACAUCUUGACGGUACCUAAUCAGAAAGCCACGGCUAACUACGUG
rnacentral:rRNA from 1 species